rnacentral:rRNA from 1 species
CCUACGGGAGGCAGCAGUGAGGAAUAUUGGUCAAUGGUCGGGAGACUGAACCAGCCAAGCCGCGUGAGGGAGGAAGGUACAGAGUAUCGUAAACCUCUUUUGUCAGGGAACAAAGGCGGGGACGUGUCCCCGGAUGCGUGUACCUGAAGAACAAGCAUCGGCUAACUCCGUGCCAGCAGCCGCGGUAAUACGGAGGAUGCGAGCGUUAUCCGGGUUUAUUGGGUUUAAAGGGUGCGUAGGCGGUCUGUUAAGUCAGCGGUCAAAGCCCGGGGCUCAACCCCGGCGCGCCGUUGAAACGGGCAGUCUCGAGUUGGAGAGAAGUAUGCGGAAUGCGCGGUGUAGCGGUGAAAUGCAUAGAGAUCGCGCAGAACUCCGAUUGCGAAGGCAGCAUGCCGGCUCCACACUGACGCUGAGGCACGAAAGCGUGGGUAUCGAACAGGAUUAGAUACCCGAGUAGUC